rnacentral:rRNA from 1 species
GACGAACGCUGGCGGCGUGCCUAAUACAUGCAAGUUGAGCGCUGAAGGUUGGUACUUGUACCGACUGGAUGAGCAGCGCACGGGUGAGUAACGCGUGGGGAAUCUGCCUUUGAGCGGGGGACAACAUUUGGAAACGAAUGCUAAUACCGCAUAAAAACUUUAAACACAAGUUUUAAGUUUGAAAGAUGCAAUUGCAUCACUCAAAGAUGAUCCCGCGUUGUAUUAGCUAGUUGGUGAGGUAAAGGCCCACCAAGGCGAUGAUACAUAGCCGACCUGAGAGGGUGAUCGGCCACCUUGGGACUGAGACACGGCCCAAACCCCUACGGGAGGCAGCCGGAGGGAAUCUUCGGCCAUGGACGCAAGUCUGACCGAGCAACGCCGCGUGAGUGAAGAAGGUUUUCGGGUCGUAAAACUCUGUUGGUAGAGAAGAACGUUGGUGAGAGUGGAAAGCUCAUCAAGUGACGGUAACUACCCAGAAAGGGACGGCUAACUACGUG